UGUAUAUAUACUAUGUCCUCAUUUUUAUAAAGAUAUGAGCAGAAAAAAAUGGAGACAUCACAACAAUUACAUUAUUAGCAAUAUUAAAAUUUCUAACAUUUAUUGAGUGCUUCUAGGUACUGUACAGGUAUUAUCUCAUUUAAGUUCUGUUAGCAAUCCAUUUUAUUUAUUAAGUAACUGAUGCACCGUUGCAGUAAAAGUUUAAGUGAAAGGAUCAAAGACACAGAGCUGGUAAGUAAUUAAGUCAGAAUUCAACCCAAGUGGGUCCAUCCAGAGCCUGAGGACAUAACCACCACAACCUCACUGAAUGACUGUUCUGAUAAAGAAUUCAAAUGCUGAGUGACCAUACAAUUUGGUUAGCCUGGGACAAUCUAACUUUAGGCUUAUUGUCCUGAUACGAUUAGUGUUACCUCAUAUUCAUGCUCAAGGUUGUUGUCCAGUUUCAAUAAUAAAUACUAUGAUCACCCUGCAUCAAGAGCCCCUCCCAGAUCUCAUGCUUCUAAAAGUCUAGAAAGGAAAUUUUGAACACGAUUCAGUUAGGUCAUGAGGUGCGCAGGAUAAUGUGGAGAAACGGAAUCAGCUAGGGACAUUUCUCUAUUUAUUUCUCCAUCCAGCACUCAAGAGAAUAAUUAACCGAAAACAUUGCCUUCUGUUAAUUGCCUCCUCUCUCUCCACACAGGACCCUAAGGAAACAUUUAAGAGAAUCUUGAGUUAGAAGCACCUCUCUUACAGCAAUAUGUAGCAGGAACCACUACCCAAAGCGCAGAGCCUGGAGGAAGUCAUCCUCUCUAUCCUGAACGCUCAUGUUAUGUUUAUAUCCUCUACUUCCAGAAAGAACUCUACCUGUGUCUGGGCAUCUAGAGUGCCAUCAAGGUCCAGGUCCAGGAAAAGACAGCCGUAGCAGCACACUUACCUGCUUUCACCAGGACACUCCUGCUAGAAUAUCUAUAAGAAUAUCUGGGUGGGUAAAAUCAUAAUGAGACAACUGGCUUUUUUCCCCCCUUUUUCUUCUUGCAACCAUGCUCUCCUCUGCCCUCAACCCAGAGGCUUCAUGUAUCCAGUUUCAAUGAUUAUUUUUCCUUUUUUAGUUUCUCACAGUAACCAUGUCCCUUCUCCCCUAUCCCAAUGGGAUUAUUUGAAUUAUAGCAGAAACUGAGGGGUUUGAGUCUAAAGAGAAAUAUUUAACAUUGAAUUUCAGAUAUUAGCAAGUAGGUAGCAUGAGGAAUGGAGGGCACAGAGGCUCAGGAUCUAGGCUAGCAAAAGCUGAGAGAAUUCAGCCCCUCCAAACUAGCUCUACAACACUACCAAAUGUCUAUAUAAAACAGACCUAAUUUAACCUCAAAUAAACUUUUUAAGAUAUGUUCUAUUAUAGUUAUUUUACUAGUUUUCAGAUGAAAUAACUUAAGUAGAAAGCUAACAAUCUCUUUAGAGUCAUAAAGUUCACAGACAGCAAAGCCACAUCCCCGUAUAGCUAUGUGAUAUCUAAGGCCAUGCUUUUAGUCACUAAAAUAUAUAUAGGAGUUGUUUCCUAUUAAUAAUAUCCUAAAAUUUCCCAAAUAUCUUUUAAGAAGGGCUUUCCAAAUGUUAAUAUACUUUCUUUCACCUUCAUGAGAGGUUGAUGGGUUAAUAAUGAAAAAUGUAAUACCCUCCUUUACAUGUGGGAAAAGCAACACACAGAACCAUUAUUUAGGGGCAAUGUUAACCAAGGUUAUUUCUUAUAAAACAAUUCAAUAUUUCUCUUUAUUCUGUGUUCAGUGUGGUUUUAGGCAGUUUAUUCCAAUAGAAAUUGGGGUAACUUGACUUAAGAGAUUUAUUCUCUUCUUUCCCUGUAGAUCCUAGGAUCAGCGAACAAUGGCUGGGGGAAAGAACAGUACAAC
ensembl:lncRNA